rnacentral:rRNA from 1 species
UGGGGAAUUGUUCGCAAUGGGCGCAAGCCUGACGACGCAACGCCGCGUGGAGGAUGAAGAUCUUCGGGUCGUAAACUCCUGUCGAGCGGGAAGAAUACCCCUGGCGUUAACAGCGCCGGAGGUUGACGGUACCGCGAGAGGAAGCCCCGGCUAACUCCGUGCCAGCAGCCGCGGUAAUACGGGGGGGGCAAGCGUUGUUCGGAAUUACUGGGUGUAAAGGGCUCGUAGGCGGCCAACUAAGUCUGACGUGAAAUCCCCCGGCUUAACUGGGGAACUGCGUCAGGUACUGGUUGGCUUGAGUUCGGGAGAGGGACGUGGAAUUCCAGGUGUAGCGGUGAAAUGCGUAGAUAUCUGGAGGAACACCGGUGGCGAAGGCGGCGUCCUGGACCGACUACUGACGCUGAGGAGCGAAAGCCAGGGGGAGCAAACGGGAUUAGAUACCCCGGUAGUCCUGGCCCUAAACGAUGAAUGCUUGGUGUGGCGGGUAUCGAUCCCCGCGUGCCGGAGC